rnacentral:rRNA from 1 species
UACGGGGGGGGCAAGCGUUGUUCGGAAUUACUGGGCGUAAAGGGCUCGUAGGCGGCCAACUAAGUCAGACGUGAAAUCCCCAGGCUUAACCUGGGAACUGCGUCUGAUACUGGAUGGCUUGAAUCCGGGAGAGGGAUGCGGAAUUCCAGGUGUAGCGGUGAAAUGCGUAGAUAUCUGGAGGAACACCGGUGGCGAAGGCGGCAUCCUGGACCGAGAUUGACGCUGAGGCGCGAAAGCCAGGGGAGCAAACGGGG